rnacentral:lncRNA from 1 species
GCCCCCACCGCCAGCGGCGCGAAGCCGUUCACCCACGCCUCGUAGUUGGCCUCCAUUGCCGAGAACACCUGCUCGAUCUCUCCCUGCUCGAAUCCCCCGUGGUAGUCCUUGUCGUUCAGAAAUCUGACAAAAUUCAACCAUCGGUAAGACUUCUAAUCACUCUUCUUCAAUCAAUUACUCACUCACACACAUUACUUUCCCCUUUCAAAUCAACACUCUGCAUCAUCAUCUGCAUGCUCCUAACCCCAUUCAAACUACAGGUAUCACUGCUUGGUUGAAUGGGUUGGAGAAAGGUGUUUGAGAUGAAAAGAAAACAAGAUUUUGUGGAAGUGUUGAAAUGGAAAAAAAAGCUGGGUUGAAGUUUGAUGUAGGAAAAGAAGUGGAAUUGAAAGAGGUGGGUUCAUGAUUAGCCCCUCCAUUAUGUAGUUUGAAUCCAAACAUACACCAAUUACACUGAGACCACAGUUUUUUUUUACCUCAAACAACAUAAAUCAGUAUGAAAUUGUCAAGUUCCAUGGAUCAAAGAAGGUUGAGAAAAUAAAAUUUAAUCCAAACAUGAAUACAUACAUACAAGUGGUAACAGAAAUUUGAAGCAGAGAGGAAGCAAAAAUGAAGUAACGGAAGAGGAGAGGGUUUGGUUGGGGUACCUGGGGGAGGCGCCGAUGAGGAUGAGUUUGGAGAAGAGUUCGGGGCGGCGGAUGGAGGCGAGCAUGCCGAUCAUGGCGGAGAUGGAGUGGCCGACGUAGGCGCAGCGGGGGACGCGGAGGGCCUCGAGGAUGUUGAGGAGGUCGUCGACGUAGGCGUCAAGGGUGGUGUAGCGGCGGUAGUCGAAGUGGUCGGGGUUGACGCUGCCGGCGCACACCAGGUCGUAGAGAAUGACGCUGUAGUGGCGCGUGAAGUAGGGGAGCACGCGCUGCCACGCCGACUGGUCCGUGCCGAAACCGUGUGCCAGGACGAGGUACUUGUCGCCGGUGCCCUCCACGCGCACGUUGAGGGCGUCCAGAAUGGAACUCCCCAUACCGAAUUUGUUCUGAUUAAAACGAUCAGAGAGAGGAACACUCUCACACACACACACAACAGUAGAGUGAUUGGUUUGGUGUGUGUGCAAGAGAGCGCGUGGCUUCUGUUGUUAACAACAGUCGAAGGUGGUUCUCUUGAUUUUAUAUUUUGUUUCCUUUGUCUCUUUGGCUGCUAUUUAUAACUGCCAUCACUCAAUCCCAACACACUAUUUUCUUUUGCCUUUUUUUUAAUUGUUUUUGUUUAAAUCCUUUAUUUUAUUUUAAUUAAUUAUACUACUUUUCAAUAUUACCUGAAUUAGACAGGUUAGGUUUUAAUUUUAAUUAGAUAAUAUCAAAUUAAUUGUAAUAAAAAUGAUUAAAUUAGGAAAAUUGUACAUCUUAAUUAAAACUGUUCUCACAAUAUAUGAUGAACUUUAAUUAAUACUAAAAAUAAAUUAAAAAAAAGUGUUGUUUGCAUUAUCUAAAGUAAACCAAAUGGUACACCCAGUGACGUACUUAUUAAUUAUUGCAAAUGCAGAUGCCGUAUGGAAGCAACUAGAAAACGAAAUAAAUUCUUUUAUUUAUUUAUUUAUUUAUUUAUUUAUUUAUUUUAUUUCCUUCUACUUUGGAAGUUCUUCAGUUUUGACGUACAGUGGGGUAUUUAAUAAAAGAGAGAGAGAGAGAAAUGUUUCAAACAUUUUAUCAUCAUCUUGCAUAAUAAAAUCAUUAAUUAAAAUGAAAUGUUAAAUAUGGUUAAUUAGUUAAUGAAUAAUGUAAAAAGUGUUAACAGUAGAUGAAAGCAAAGGUGGAAACGUUUUUUACCUUUAUUAUGCAGAAUCAAAAGUUAAUCUUUAAUUAGUAAAACUAAGAAUAGAAGUGUAUGGUAGUUAUGUGAGUGAUAUUAGUGAAGCUAUGAUUUUGAUUAAAGAUUUGUGAUUGAAGAAACUGGUGGCAGUUAUUAGUCCAUAAACAGUGUGAUUUGGUGUGAUUUUACUUUCUGGAAAACGAAUUUGGUAUGAUUAGUUGAAAGCUUCAACUAAUCAGUAAUCAGCAAAACAAAGCAAAUGGUAGAUUUUUGAAGAAGAUGAGAUGAAGAUGCGACAUCACAAUCAUCAUCACUUUUUGUCCUGCCCAAUUAUCCCAUUGUACGGACCAAGAAAAAUUUCACACUCCACUUUUUUUUCCUUUCAUCUUUUUACUUUUCACCUAUUCACAAUUCGGAUGAGGAGGAAUGUUAAAACAAUGUGUUUUUUAAUUCUAAAUUAGGAUUAUAUAUAAGGAAUAAAUAUAUAUUUUGUUGUUUUUUUUUGUUUUUUUUUUAACUUUAAAUAUCAUAAUUAUUGAAAUUCAUCUUUAAAAACAAAUUUUAUAUAACAUUCACAUCAAUGAUAUAUAAAAUAUUCUAAUAUACUAGAUUAUACUGAAAAUUUCUUUGUCACAGACAAGGAUUUUUUUCAAUAACUUUUUUACUACAUUAAAAAAUCUAAAGUUUAUAAUAAUAACAGAAAUUAAUUUCGCAUGGAGAUAUAGAUAGGAAUAUACAUAUUUAAUUGUUUAUUUUAAAAUUCAAAGUUUCAUUACAAUCAUAUCUAAAAAAAUAUCUUAAUAGAUUAAAAAACAUCUUAAUAGAUUGAAUAAGAAGGUUAUAUUUAGAAUAUUUUUAACCAUGAUCUUGACUCUUUAACUUAACUGUGUGAAAUUAUUAGAUUAAUUAUAGAAGUAAAAUAAAGAUUAUUGUUUUAAACAAAGAACAUAGUAGAUAAUUAAUUGCUUUCCUAUUGUUAUUAUUACAAUUAUCAAGGAAAUAAAAGAAUUUAAUUUUUCAGUGUUAUGAAUUCGAAAGAAAAACACUAUGAGUUGGUGCAUCCAUAAUGGUCAAUUGUUGUAAAUGAAUAAUCCAAAAAAUUUAUGUCCUAACAUCUAUUUUUGUCAGUUGGUUCAGCUGCUGUCUCCUACCCAUUUCAAUCAUAUUAUUAAAACAAUUUGUCUUUUUCUCUUACAAAGUAUUAGUCAGUCUCAUAUAAUAAAGAAUUUAGUCUCCAUAAUAGUCAUACAAAAACCCAUGAAGAAAAUAUCAGUCACAAAUAAAUAUAUUUCUCACCAAUCAUAUUUCUUAUAAAUAUACUAUACCUUUUAUAUAUAUAUAUAUAUAUAUGAAAUUUCUCGAAACAAGUUCAAGUUUGUUGAAAUAUAUAAUUAUAUAAAUGAAAAAUUAUUUUACCAAUUCGAUUAAUGUUAUGUACGACCUUUUUAUUGGUACUUAAUUAUUUAUAUUUUUUAUGUAACAAUUUAAGAUCUUAAUUUUAUGCUUUAUUUGAUGUUUAAGUUAGAUAGAUGCACUUUUCCUCUCGAUUUCACAAUUGAUUAAUAUUUGCCUUUUUUUAUCAUCAAACAGAAUAAAAUAAAUAGCUUUCUUUUUUAACUUUAUUUGUCUUAUGUUAGAUAUAAUUUAGUUUUUGUAACUUUUUAUUUUAUAUAUUUUUAAGAACUGUACAGUUUUAUUUAUGAGUGAUUUAGUGAUUCUUAUAGUUAUAUUAACUUGAUAUUUUAGCCCUUACGUUUAAAGAAUAGUAAUUUUGAAUAUAUAAUUUGAUUAGUGUAUAUAUUUUAAUCGUAUUGAAUCCUUGUCAUUUAAAUUCAUAGAGGAUAAAAAAUAGAAAAUAAUAUGUAUUAAAGCUAAAAACUAAAAUUUGUCCAAUUGUAUAAAUUAAAUAAGUAAUUUAACAUUAUUUAUUUUUUAUCCUCAAGUACAACUAUUCAUUAGUCACCACUACAG